CUACGGGGGGCAGCAGUGGGGAAUAUUGGACAAUGGACCAAAAGUCUGAUCCAGCAAUUCUGUGUGCACGAUGAAGUUUUUCGGAAUGUAAAGUGCUUUCAGUUGGGAAGAAGUCAGUGACGGUACCAACAGAAGAAGCGACGGCUAAAUACGUGCCAGCAGCCGCGGUAAUACGUAUGUCGCAAGCGUUAUCCGGAUUUAUUGGGCGUAAAGCGCGUCUAGGCGGCUUAGUAAGUCUGAUGUGAAAAUGCGGGGCUCAACCCCGUAUUGCGUUGGAAACUGCUAAACUAGAGUACUGGAGAGGUAGGCGGAACUACAAGUGUAGAGGUGAAAUUCGUAGAUAUUUGUAGGAAUGCCGAUGGGGAAGCCAGCCUACUGGACAGAUACUGACGCUAAAGCGCGAAAGCGUGGGUAGCAAACAGGAUUAGAAACCCCUGUAGUCC
rnacentral:rRNA from 1 species